UUGAGUGUGUUGAAUUUGAUGUUUUUCUUGUACUUUUCAAGAAAAUAUGUGUACAAGGAGAAGAGACUUGCUGAAAUGGGGAUUGAAUUGGAAGAUGAUGGGCCGGUUUGUCAUUGAAAUAUAUAAAUCACUCCAUCGACAACAACAGAGGGUCUAUCGGGAUUGAAUUGGAAGAUGAUGGACCGGUUUGUCAUUGAAAUACAUAAACCACUCCAUCGUUAACAACAGAGGGCCUAUCGGAAAUAACAUCCUCUAUCUUCAACCGCACUGGAUAUGCUAUUGCUUUAACUUUUGGCUUCUUUGAUUGAGCUUGUAAAAACUCUUUAUUAGAAGAGUUAUGUUUUGAUUAUAUGUACAAAGAAUGGGAAAGAGCUAAGAUAAUGAAAAAGUCUAGAGCUCUUUUUAUUCUUCCUUUCCUUUUUUUUUACUGUAUACAAAAUAAUAUAAAUGUAUUGCAAUGCAACACUAGGGUUUCAUACUUCUGAAACCUUUUUAUUUUACUCUAAUUUCUAUCUUAAUCA
rnacentral:lncRNA from 1 species